GACAGAGGAUGCAAGCGUUAUCCGGAAUUAUUGGGCGUAAAGGGUGCGUAGAUGGCAUAAUAAGUUAUUGGUGGUAAAUCGAGGCUCAACCUCGUGGAAGCUGGUAAUACUGUUAUGCUCGAGUGCAGAAGAGGUUAACGGAACUCCCUGUGGAGCGGUAAAAUGUGAAGAUAUAGGGAAGAACACCAAUAACGGCGAAGGCAGUUAACUAUUCUGUUACUGACAUUGAGGCACGAAAGCGUGGGGAACAAAACGG
rnacentral:rRNA from 1 species